rnacentral:rRNA from 1 species
GGGCCAUUGCGCAUGGGGGGGACCCUGACGCAGCGACGCCGCGUGCGGGAUGAAGGCCUUCGGGUUGUAAACCGCUUUUGAUUGGGAGCAAGCUUUCGGGUGAGUGUACCUUUCGAAUAAGCGCCGGCUAACUACGUGCCAGCAGCCGCGGUAAUACA